rnacentral:rRNA from 1 species
ACUGCCUGAUGGCGGGGGGUAACUACUGGAAACGGUAGCUAAUACCGCAUAAUGUCUACGGACCAAAGCGGGGGACCUCCGGGCCUCGCGCCAUCAGAUGAACCCAUAUGGGAUUAGCUAGUAGGUGAGGUAACGGCUUACCUAGGCGACGAUCCCUAGCUGGUCUGAGAGGAUGAUCAGCCACACUGGGACUGAGACACGGCCCAG